UGGGGAAUAUUGCACAAUGGGCGCAAGCCUGAUGCAGCCAUGCCGCGUGUAUGAAGAAGGCCUUCGGGUUGUAAAGUACUUUCAGCGAGGAGGAAGGCGUUGUGGUUAAUAACCGCAGCGAUUGACGUUACUCGCAGAAGAAGCACCGGCUAACUCCGUGCCAGCAGCCGCGGUAAUACGGAGGAUGCAAGCGUUAAUCGGAAUUACUGGGCGUAAAGCGCACGCAGGCGGUCUGUCAAGUCGGAUGUGAAAUCCCCGGGCUCAACCUGGGAACUGCAUCCGAAACUGGCAGGCUAGAGUCUUGUAGAGGGGGGUAGAAUUCCAGGUGUAGCGGUGAAAUGCGUAGAGAUCUGGAGGAAUACCGGUGGCGAAGGCGGCCCCCUGGACAAAGACUGACGCUCAGGUGCGAAAGCGUGGGGAGCAAACA
rnacentral:rRNA from 1 species